AUUGCCUCAGUAACGGCGAGUGAAGCGGCAACAGCUCAAAUUUGAAAUCUGGCUCUUUCAGGGUCCGAGUUGUAAUUUGUAGAAGAUGCUUUGGGUGUAGCUCCGGUCUAAGUUCCUUGGAACAGGACGUCAUAGAGGGUGAGAAUCCCGUACGUGACUGGGUGCUUUCGCUCGUGUAAAGCUCUUUCGACGAGUCGAGUUGUUUGGGAAUGCAGCUCAAAAUGGGUGGUAAAUUUCAUCUAAAGCUAAAUAUUGGCCAGAGACCGAUAGCGCACAAGUAGAGUGAUCGAAAGAUGAAAAGCACUUUGGAAAGAGAGUUAAACAGUACGUGAAAUUGUUGAAAGGGAAGCGCUUGCAACCAGACUUGCGCGCUGUUGAUCAUCCGAGCUUCUGCCCGGUGCACUCGACAGCGUUCAGGCCAGCAUCGGUUUUGGUGGGCGGAUAAAGGCCUUGGGAAUGUAGCUUCUUUCGGGGAGUGUUAUAGCCCUCGGUGCAAUGCGCCCUACCGGGACCGAGGACCGCGCUUCGGCUAGGAUGCUGGCGUAAUGGUUGUAAGCGACCCGUCUUGAAACACGGACCAAGGAGUCUAACAUCUAUGCGAGUGUUUGGGUGUCAAACCCAUACGCGUAAUGAAAGUGAACGGAGGUGAGAACCCUUAAGGGUGCAUCAUCGACCGAUCCUGAUGUCUUCGGAUGGAUUUGAGUAAGAGCAUAGCUGUUGGGACCCGAAAGAUGGUGAACUAUGCCUGAAUAGGGUGAAGCCAGAGGAAACUCUGGUGGAGGCUCGCAGCGGUUCUGACGUGCAAAUCGAUCGUCAAAUUUGGGUAUAGGGGCGAAAGACUAAUCGAACCAUUGGUAAAAUACACCGCAGGAACGGUGCUAGGUGGUUAAGAGGCCGCUGAGAAGCGCGCCUAGUCCUGUUCUCAGGGCGACAUUGUCAAAUUGUUCGGGGACGUCCUGUCACUGCUAAGCUACCGCAGCUUGUCUCGAAAGAGCAGCGCGCACCGGGUUAACGACCCUGGGGAUGGUAACAACGCUUAGCUAGGGAUGAUCCGCAGCCACACCCUACGGGCGGAAAAAGCCUACGGGUGGGGUUCACAGACUCGACGACAGUGGGCUCGACAGAGCUUAAGAUAGAGUCGGACCCCCGAGAGAUCGGGCGGUGGGUGACCCUCUUCGAGGGGAUCUUACCGGGGCAGUCUGCCCGGAGC
rnacentral:rRNA from 1 species